rnacentral:rRNA from 1 species
GAGUUUGAUCGUGGCUCAGAACGAACGCUGGCGGCAUGCCUAACACAUGCAAGUCGAACGAGACCUUCGGGUCUAGUGGCGCACGGGUGCGUAACGCGUGGGAAUCUGCCCUCUGGUACGGAAUAACUCAGGGAAACUUGAGCUAAUACCGUAUAAUGACUUCGGUCCAAAGAUUUAUCGCCUGAGGAUGAGCCCGCGUAGGAUUAGCUUGUUGGUGAGGUAAAAGCUCACCAAGGCGACGAUCCUUAGCUGGUCUGAGAGGAUGAUCAGCCACACUGGGACUGAGACACGGCCCAGACUCCUACGGGAGGCAGCAGUGGGGAAUAUUGGACAAUGGGCGAAAGCCUGAUCCAGCAAUGCCGCGUGAGUGAUGAAGGCCUUAGGGUUGUAAAGCUCCUUUACCCGGGAUGAUAAUGACAGUACCGGAGAAUAAGCCCCGGCUAACUCCGUGCCAGCAGCCGCCGCGGUAA